UACGUAGGGUGCGAGCGUUAAUCGGAAUUACUGGGCGUAAAGCGUGCGCAGGCGGUUUUGUAAGUCUGACGUGAAAGCCCCGGGCUUAACCUGGGAAUUGCGCUUGAUACUCUGAGACUGGAGUACGGGAGAGGAGAGUGGAAUUCCCAGUGUAGAGGUGAAAUUCGUAGAUAUUGGGAAGAACACCAGUGGCGAAGGCGGCUCUCGUGGACCGUAACUGACGCUGAGGCGCGAAAGCGUGGGGAGCAAACAGG
rnacentral:rRNA from 1 species